GAUCAUCGAGUUUCAGCGUUCCAUUCCGUUAGUUGAGAUCUGGUUCGUAUGCAUAUAACUCGAAGAAACGCGGGUAGACGCGUGUCCGUUUCAUUCUCGGCGACGUCUACGUCGUCAUUAUUAUUAUCAUGUUUUGCAUCACCACCAUCAUCAACGCUGCCACCUCCGUCAUUUACCCUCGCUCUCUCGCAUGCAUAACACACCGGCCACGGACAGCUUCGGGCGUUUUAUCGCAACUCUGCCUGUUUAUUCAUCGAUACUCUGCAAAAGAGCCACUAUGAACAGAAACCUUGGUUCCCUUAAGUGUGCAUAUAUCAGUUUAUUGAUUGAGAAAUUUCAUCCUUAGACAGUAUUGUCUUAACUACGUAGUUAAAUUUAAGAGAUGAUUCCAUCUAAGACAUGAACCAAAAUUCGUUUUGUGAGGAUAUUAAAUAUUCGUCAAUAUAUAUUCAAGAAUGAAACUCUUCUUUUUCAAGUUUUCUUUAAAUGUGGAUUUCACAGUACCUGGGGUGCGAUGUCCCCAUUAUCUGUACUAAACUGUACUAACUAUAAACCAAAUCGUAAACUGUGAAAUGUAAACCAAAAUCUGUACUAAAGAUUAGAUAUUUUUUGGUUUCUUA